rnacentral:rRNA from 1 species
GACGAACGCUGGCGGCGUGCUUAACACAUGCAAGUCGCGCGAGAAAAAUGGGGGGCAACCCCAUGAGUACAGCGGCGCACGGGUGAGUAAUACGUAGGUAAUCUACCUUCAGGACCGGGAUAACCUUCCGAAAGGAGGGCUAAUACUGGAUAAGACCACGGAGCUUAGGCUCUGCGGUUAAAGGUGGCCUCUGCUCGCAAGCUACCACCAGAAGAUGAGCCUGCGCACCAUAGCUAGUUGGCGAGGUAACGGCUCACCAAGGCGAAGAUGGUUAGCUGAUCUGAGAGGAUGAUCAGCCACACUGGGACUGAGACACGGCCCAGACUCCUACGGGAGGCAGCAGUGGGGAAUCUUGGACAAUGGGGAAACCCUGAUCAGCGACGCCGCGUGGGUGAUGAAGGCC